rnacentral:lncRNA from 1 species
UUCCAUGAGUCUCUUAGCUGUAUCUGCCUUCAUCUGCAUAUCUUUUUGUUUCUGGGAGUUAUAGUUCGAAAGUAUCUCAUAAUUACCAUAAGUUGUAUGAAGCAUAAGUUUUCAUUUAAAGCGGGGUGAAAUUCAACAUUUUCUUCUCUGAGUGAAAAAAGCAAUACAUGUAAAGUACAUCCAAAGACCAAGUUCGAGAUAGACAACCGAUGUAGCUUUUGUACACUUACGGGUGAAUCUUUGGCGCACUUGUUUUUUGAAUGUUUUUUCAGCCGAUCAGUUUGGGAUAAUAUACGUACAUGGGUGGGUCUCAAGCGAUCUAUGUCUACAAUUCAAAGCGCAUUGGAUUAAAAAGGAGAGUCGAGGCACUACUUGGCAUAGCAAGGUGAAAUGUAUUGCACUUGUGACCAAAGUCUACCAUAUUUAGAUGGGAAGGAACAAGUUGAUUUUUGAAGAUCUUAAAUUGAAUGUUGAUUGUACUACUCAUACGAUUAAAACACACAUAUACAAAGUUAUGUUUUCUUUGUAUCCGAAUGUUUUGAUUAGUUACGAAUCCAUUGCUUUAGGUCUCUAGAUUGUUUUUUUUUUUUUUUAUUUUUUUUUUCCGGGCUUUUUUGUUCAAUAGGCCAGAAAAAAAUAAGUGACUUAUAAGUCGGACAGACCAUAUUGUAAUUUUGCAUUACAUUUCUUGCUAGCUCUUAAUGAUUCUAUGUCAGGUUAUUUCUUUAGGCCAUGUUUGGGAGCUAUUUUUCAUCCAAAAAAUUAAUUUUUUAACCGUUAUUUUACUAUUACAGUCGUC